rnacentral:rRNA from 1 species
UACGAAGGGGCUAGCGUUGUUCGGAAUCACUGGCGUAAAGCGCACGUAGGCGGAUCUUUAAGUCAGAGGUGAAAUCCCAAGGCUCAACCUUGGAACUGCCUUUGAUACUGGGAUCUUGAGUCCGGGAGAGGUGAGUGGAACUGCGAGUGUAAGAGGUGAAAUUCGUAGAUAAUUCGGAAGAACACCAGUGGCGAAGGCGA